AGAGAGGUGGCCGAGUGGUCGAAUGCGCACGCUUGGAAAGCGUGUAUUCCGAUUGCAUCGGAAUCGAGGGUUCGAAUCCCUUCCUCUCUG
rnacentral:tRNA from 1 species